CAAGCGUGGAUGAUGUGGAGUUAAAUUCGAUGCAACGCGAAGAACCUUACCUAACCCUUGACAUGUCCGGAACUUGCCAGAGAUGGCUUGGUGCCCGAAAGGGAAUCGGAACACAGGUGCUGCAUGGCUGUCGUCAGCUCGUGUCGUGAGAUGUUGGGUUAAGUCCCGCAACGAGCGCAACCCUUAUCAUUAGUUGCUACGCAAGGGCACUCUAAUGAGACUGCCGGUGACAAACCGGAGGAAGUGGGGAUGACGUCAAGUCCUCAUGGCCCUUAUGGGUAGGGCUUCACACGUCAUACAAUGGUCGGUACAGAGGGUUGCCAAGCCGCGAGGCGGAGCCAAUCCCACAAAGCCGAUCGUAGUCCGGAUUGUUCUCUGCAACUCGAGAGCAUGAAGUCGGAAUCGCUAGUAAUCGCAGGUCAGCAUACUGCGGUGAAUACGUUCCCGGGUCUU
rnacentral:rRNA from 1 species